ACUUGGGUAGUUCAGUCGACAGAGCGUGAGAUUCUUAAUUUCAGACUCCCAGAGUGGUGGGUUCGAGCCCCACACUGGAGAA